UACAGAGGUCUCAAGCGUUGUUCGGAUUCAUUGGGCGUAAAGGGUGUGUAGGUGGCGCGCUAAGUCGGGUGUGAAAUUUCGGAGCUUAACUCCGAAACUGCAUUCGAUACUGGCGUGCUUGAGGACUGGAGAGGAGACUGGAAUUCAUGGUGUAGCAGUGAAAUGCGUAGAGAUCAUGAGGAAGACCAGUGGCGAAGGCGGGUCUCUGGACCAACACUGACACUGAUGAGCGAAAGCCAGGGGAGCAAACGGG
rnacentral:rRNA from 1 species